rnacentral:tRNA from 1 species
CAUUAAAAAGCUAAAACGGACAAGCGUUGGCCUUUUAAGCCAAAGAGUGGUGUUUACCAAACACCUUUAGUGA